rnacentral:rRNA from 1 species
GGGAAUUUUCCGCAAUGGGCGAAAGCCUGACGGAGUAAUGCCGCGUGGAGGUGGAAGGCCUACGGGUCGUCAACUUCUUUUCUCGGAGAAGAAACAAUGACGGUAUCUGAGGAAUAAGCAUCGGCUAACUCUGUGCCAG